rnacentral:lncRNA from 1 species
CAUUUUAAUUCAAAGCGUUCAUCCAAACGCUGCUCGCCGCGUUGUGUGUCUGUCUGUGUGUGUGUGUGUGUGUCUCUCUCUGUGUGUGUGUGUGUGUCUCUCUCUCUUUCUCUCUGUGUGUGUGUGUCUCUUUGUGUGUGUGUGUGUGUGCCUCUCUCUCUCUGUGUGUGUGUGCGUGUGUGUCUCUCUCUCUUUCUCUCUGUGUGUGUGUGUGUCUCUCUCUGUGUGUGUGUGUGUGUCUCUCUCUCUGUGUGUGUGUGUGUGUCUCUCUCUCUGUGUGUGUGUGUGUGUCUCUCUCUCUUUCUCUCUGUGUGUGUGUGUGUCUCUCUCUCUGUGUGUGUGUGUGUGUCUCUCUCUCUUUCUCUCUGUGUGUGUGUGUGUCUCUCUCUCUGUGUGUGUGUGUGUGUCUCUCUCUCUUUCUCUCUGUGUGUGUGUGUGUCUCUCUCUCUGUGUGUGUGUGUGUGUCUCUCUCUCUUUCUCUCUGUGUGUGUGUGUGUCUCUCUCUCUGUGUGUGUGUGUGUGUCUCUCUCUCUUUCUCUCUGUGUGUGUGUGUGUCUCUCUCUCUGUGUGUGUGUGUGUGUCUCUCUCUCUUUCUCUCUGUGUGUGUGUGUGUCUCUCUCUCUGUGUGUGUGUGUGUGUCUCUCUCUCUUUCUCUCUGUGUGUGUGUGUGUCUCUCUCUCUGUGUGUGUGUGUGUGUCUCUCUCUCUUUCUCUCUGUGUGUGUGUGUGUCUCUCUCUCUGUGUGUGUGUGUGUGUCUCUCUCUCUUUCUCUCUGUGUGUGUGUGUGUCUCUCUCUCUGUGUGUGUGUGUGUGUCUCUCUCUCUUUCUCUCUGUGUGUGUGUGUGUCUCUCUCUCUGUGUGUGUGUGUGUGUCUCUCUCUCUUUCUCUCUGUGUGUGUGUGUGUCUCUCUCUCUGUGUGUGUGUGUGUGUCUCUCUCUCUUUCUCUCUGUGUGUGUGUGUGUCUCUCUCUCUGUGUGUGUGUGUGUGUCUCUCUCUCUUUCUCUCUGUGUGUGUGUGUGGCUCUCUGUGUGUGUGUGUGUGUGUGUGUGUGUGUCUCUUUCUCUGUGUGUGUCUCUCUCUGUGUGUGUGUGUGUGUCUGUGUCUGUCUCUCUCUCUCUCUCUCUCUGUGUGUGUGUGUGUGUGUGUGUGUGUCUCUCUCUCUCUCUCUCGGUCUCUCUCUGUCUCAAUAUUCUCUCAUUGGCGAUC